rnacentral:rRNA from 1 species
GGGGGGGGCUAGCGUUGUUCGGAAUUACUGGGCGUAAAGGGCUCGUAGGUGGCCAACUCAGUCACACGUGAAAUCCCUCGGCUUAACCGGGGAACUGCGUGUGAUACUGGAUGGCUUGAAUCCGGGAGAGGGAUGCGGAAUUCCAGGUGUAGCGGUGAAAUGCGUAGAUAUCUGGAGGAACACCGGUGGCGAAGGCGGCAUCCUGGACCGGCAUUGACACUGAGGAGCGAAAGCCAGGGGAGCAAACGGGAUUAGAUACCCCGGUAGUCCUGGCCCUAAACGAUGAAUGCUUGGUGUGACGGGUAUCGAUCCCUGUCGUGCCGAAGCUAACGCAUUAAGCAUUCCGCCUGGGGAGUACGGUCGCAAGGCUGAA